GUGAGGAAUUUUCCGCAAUGGGCGAAAGCCUGACGGAGCAAUGCCGCGUGAAGGAUGAAGGCCUAUGGGUUGUAAACUUCUUUUCUCAGAAAAGAAUUAUGACGGUAUCUGAGGAAUAAGCAUCGGCUAACUCUGUGCCAGCAGCCGCGGUAAGACAGAGGAUGCAAGCGUUAUCCGGAAUGAUUGGGCGUAAAGCGUCUGUAGGUUGUUUAAAAAGUAUUCUGUCAAAGAUUAGGGCUUAACCCUAGAUAGGCAGAAUAAACUUUUAAGCUAGAGUUUGGUAGAGGCAGAGGGAAUUCCCGGUGGAGCGGUGAAAUGCGUAGAUAUCGGGAGGAACACCAAAGGCAAAGGCACUCUGCUGGGCCAAUACUAACACUGAGAGACGAAAGCGAGGGGAGCAAAUGGGAUUAGAAACCCUUGUAGUCC
rnacentral:rRNA from 1 species